UACAGUUGACAAAUGAUGUUACAGGUAGCAGUAGAUGGUACAGUUGAUAAAUGAUGUUACAGGUGGCAGUAGAUGGUACAGUUGACAAAUGAUGUUACAGGUGGCAGUAGAUGAUACAGUUGAUAAAUGAUGUUACAGGUGGCAGUAGAUGGUACAGUUGACAAAUGAUGUUACAGGUGGCAGUAGAUGGUACAGUUGACAUAUGAUGAUACAGAUGGCAGUUGAUG